rnacentral:tRNA from 1 species
GCAGGGAUAGCAAAGCUUGGCCAAAUGCGCUGGGUUCAGGGCUCAGUCCCGUAGGGGUUCGGGAGUUCAAAUCUCCCUCCCUGCA